GAGAAGGCCGCCAUGUUGGGCCGCCAUGUUCUUCUCCGAGACGCUGCAGACCCUCGCAGCCCGGUUAUUAAAAAUACCUUUGUUUCGUGUUGGCGCCAAAAGCUUCUUUUCGGCUGUACUUUAAAGAACCGUCUCAGCACAAAAAUUCAGUACACGAUGCAUUAAAUAGGAGGAGCCUGAAACUGAAAGCUUUAGUCACGCAAGGUCUAGAACUCUGAAAUUGGACCGCCAUGGUCGGAAUGUGGGGCUUUUUAUCUCCAUAGGCCAAGCAGGCUGUGUGUCUGCGGCACAUUAACCCGCCCGGGGCCUUUUCCGGAGCCCACGACAGACAUCACUAAUCAAUUUGGAGACCGUUUUGCUCCUGGCUACGUCAUCCCAGAAUCCUUUUCUACCCAGCACUUUGAGAAGCCAUUACCAAUCGAUUGGCGUUGGGUCCGACUUAAGACCUGUUUUCCUUGCGUGGUCCUUGCCGUUUCCACUAGAGGGGGGGGGACGCCUCUUGAGAAAAUGAUUGAAUAGCGGCCACUUCCCUGAUGCCCUGAGGUGGAAACUAUGAAAACCCAGUUUUUCAUGUGGCUGAUUAAUGUUUUCAAAGUCUUAAACGCUCCUCGGAUUCGCUCUCUCUGCGUUCGUCACAUUGCUGGUGGAAGGGCAUGGAAAGUGGACACUAAAGGAUGGCCUCAAGUAAAUGACUGUGUAAUUCUCUAAAAUCUGGUGCCCUUUUAAUAGAUUUUAUUUAUUUAUUCGUGAAAGACAGAUCGAGAGAGGCAGAGACACAGGCAGAGGGAGAAGCAGGCUCCAUGCAGGGAGCCCGAGGCGGGACUCCAUCCCAGGUGUCCAGGAUCAGGCCCUGGGCUGAAGGCGGCGCUAAACGGCUGAGCCACGCAGGCUGCCCCACCAAUUUUAAAAUAUGAGAAAUUAUCUGUGGCGACAAAUAAAAUGUUUGCGUUAUAUCCAUCUAAUUUUUUGUUUCUUUGCAUCCUUUCAGUUGUUGUCUUUAUGACCUGAGAAACUUUGCAUUUCCCCAGUUGUUUGAAUGCAGAGUCAGGGGUGUGUAAAUCAAGCAUACUCUGCAUGAACAAAAUGUACAACAAGGCAUCUAACUGCCAGCUUUGCCUCACACAAUGAAGAAAGCCGGGCAGCUCAACAAAGCCUUGGGUCAAUUCCUUGGAUUUCCUAACAGAGACUCUUGAUGUGACUGAAUUUUGGGCUGCUUCUGUUUGCUUCGUGGUUUCCUCUUUGUAAUCGCGGAAGCAAUGUUACUGGAAGUUUCUGGGAUUUUUCUCUCUUUUUAAAAAGAAUUCUCAAUAAAAUUAUAUGGCAAGAAGUACAAAAAGCAACAAGGGAGAAAUGAGACCAGUACAAAUGCAGUGCCAUGGUAAAGCGGAGUGCAACACUUGGAGUUUCUGACAGUUGUCUUGGUGCCUAUCAGCAGACUGCAGCUGGACAUCUUUAGAAUGUGCAUAGACCUCGCUGCUGAUUUAAUGAGAAUCAUUUCCAAAUGAUUGUCAUGCAAUACCUGAGUAAAUGGUUUCUUCAACCCCCCAAGACACUGUAAAGCUCAGACUUCCCUUGAAACCUUGAAACCUUCAGGAAAUUGUCUGUUGAGGGGACACCAGUGAUCCUCCCAGAAGAGACCCAUUCCUAACAAUGCUAUUUAUUUUGAGGAUAGCAAAAACUAUAUAUGACUAAGUACAGAUGUUUGCGUUUGGUUGGUGUCUUAUUUCUUUUGUGUUACCAGUUUUCUCUUUCUUCACAGGCCUGCCUCUCCGCCUUCGGGUGCCACAGAAAUGAGUGUGUUCUCUUCGCAGGCAACUCAUACAAGUUCUGUAUAAACUGUGGCCUUAACUAGGGUGACCAAUAGGAGAUACACGUGAUCCUUUAUUUUCCUAAUGAGGAAGAGGAAAAUAACCAAGUAGGUAGAAACAUCUGGAUUUGAAUCCAGGUUUGUCUGAUUUCAAAGCAUACUCUUGUCUGUAGCACUUGGUAUGGAGGGUGAUGGGAGUUGCUUUAAUUUUUCUGAAGUACUCUUCUAAAUACACUAAUUUAUUAGAGUUAAUUCUCUGUGUUCAGAAAUGACAGCUACUGGGACCUAUUGUUAAUAUUUAUCUACAUAUGAACAAAUCCACUUGAACACUAAAAGUAUGUGAUUUUUCCUUACGCAGACAUGGCAAGAAACAACCAAACUAAAACUGCUGACCCGUAACUUAAUUCCAGGAAAUUAGUCCUAAGGAAAGUAUUCAAAAGAAAAAGAAAAAGGCUUACAGAAGUAUAAAUUACAGGUUUCUCUUCUUCUUUUUUUUUUUUUUUGUAAUGCCAGGGACAGGGCAAGGGAGGAGGAAAACAUAUUAACUGGCAACAGAAGAUUGAUCAUGUAAAUAAAUCUCCACCAACUUAAUAUAAUAUUUUUCAGCCAUUAAAAUAUGAAAGUUGUGAGAUUAUGGAAAUACAAGGUAAUAUUUAAAAUUAUAUGUGAAUUCGGUCAAGGAAGGUCUUAAAGAUUACAUUGAAGCAAUAAAACAGUGAAUGCAUUACAGUGGCACAAAGUGGCAGGGUAAAUUUUUUGCUUUAAACUUCCCUUCUAAGUGUUGUCAAAAAAAUGUUAAAGUAUUGUUUGGAAAAAUCUUAUUGGCACCUAGUUUUCCAUAUUGCAAAUGUCAUGUGCAAAAUUUAAUAUCAUUUUGCAUGUGGUUAUAGUGUACAUUUAUUUCAUGCUGUCCUGAACAAAUAUUUUCUACACAACAUGGGAGAAUUGGAGGCAAUGUCUUCUAUACCCUAUUCUAUCUGCCAUCUUGGAGGAUAAUAACUGAAAACUGCAAAAGGAGUUAAAUGGUUGGAUCACUUGCCUACUUACCAAAGUGAUCCACCUCUCAAAGUUUAAGGAACAAACAUAACAGAUUCAAAUAAAAACAGUCUCUAUUAUGUAAAAACCUUUGAAUAUAAUGAUCUAAAUCAAACUUAUUUUUUAAGAUU